rnacentral:tRNA from 1 species
CGCGGGGUGGAGCAGUCCGGUAGCUCGUCAGGCUCAUAACCUGAAGGUCGUAGGUUCAAAUCCUACUCCCGCAACCA